rnacentral:rRNA from 1 species
UACGUAGGUGGCGAGCGUUGUCCGGAUUUACUGGGCGUAAAGAGCGCGCAGGCGGUCGUUCAAGUCGAGUGUGAAAGCCCCCCGGCUCAACUGGGGAGGGUCACUCGAUACUGAUCGACUUGAAGGCAGGAGAGGGAAGCGGAAUUCCCGGUGUAGUGGUGAAAGUGCGUAGAUAUCGGGAGGGAACACCAGUGGCGAAGGCGGCUCACUGGCCCGAUACUGACGCUGACGGCACGAAAGCGUGGGGAGCAAACAGG